AAUAAAAUAUGCGAGAAGAGCGUUCCAGCCCAGCCUGGUUACGACAAUUUGGGCGCUCUCAUUUUUACCAAUCUGAUCCC
rnacentral:ncRNA from 1 species